CCUACGGGUGGCAGCAGUGAGGAAUAUUGGUCAAUGGCCGGAAGGCUGAACCAGCCAAGCCGCGUGAAGGACGAAGGUGCCAAGCAUUGUAAACUUCUUUUGUCAAGGGACAAAAUCAAGUACGAGAGCCUGAAUGAGGGUACCUGAAGAAAAAGCAUCGGCUAACUCCGUGCCAGCAGCCGCGGUAAUACGGAGGAUGCGAGCGUUAUCCGGAUUUAUUGGGUUUAAAGGGUGCGUAGGCGGUAUGUUAAGUUAGCGGUAAAACGGCGGGGCUAAACCGUGGUGGGCCGUUAAAACUGGAGUAUUAGAGGACAGACGAGGUAGGGGGAAGGAG
rnacentral:rRNA from 1 species